UCCUUUGGGUUUUUCUCAUUAUUGAAACGUUUUCCAUUUCUUCAGCUCAUGUUAAAACAAGCCUGAUGGGAGCGAGUUUAACUGUCCCAAUAACAAACGGCAAACUUAAUCUUGGUUCAUGGCAAGGGAUCUGGCUUUGUGAACAUCGUGAUCAUGCUAACCCAAGAAGGAUUGUUGUAACAUUGCAAGGAACUCAGAAAUAGGAAUGAGAAACAUUGUACGAAACAUGUACGUGCGAGUUCUGAGAAUUGGAUUUUCCUCGAAUUGUGUUGAAUUUGAAUAUUUACUAAAAAAAUUGAAUUUCAAAACUGGGAUCAGGCUAGGAUGGGAUCAAUUGUAGUGUACACUACUCCUGUUCCCCCAAAGUAUGUUAGCGAUUUAUAUAUACCCCUUCCUUUCUAUAAAACAAUUUUUAUCCAGGACAACGUUAGGAAGUGUUGUACUUCAAUAGACCUACCGAUUAUUCUCUCUUACUCAAUGGCCUCGUUUCCAUGUUAACUUAUUUUAGCAUGUCAGGGGCAGAUAAAGAUUAUAUUCCCAUGUUUUCCUGGACGAAUUUGUUUCUUACUGUUCUUAGGCUCAAUAACAAACAACCCUACUAAGCACAAAACAUGAGUAAGUAUUUGACCCGAAAACGAGGCCAUUGGGUAAAAGAGAAUAAUCGGUAUGGUCUAUUGAUCCCUAUUAUCGAUAUAUACAAAUAAAUAUAGUCGACCCUUGCUAUAACAGGGUUCACUACAGUAUAAUAAUUAUACGACUCUGUAUAUAACGCGAUUUAUUCUUGAUCUUUAAUACGUGGUGCUAACAUACUGUUCGUGAACUACAUUAGCAUAUGGUACGUGAUGUAUAACGCCUAUGAUCACGAUGUAUGAUGCUCUCGUACGUGAUGUGUAUAUACGCGAAGCACACAUGAUGUAUAUAAUUUAAACAUCAUAUUUAUCAUAUUUAUUUAUCACUUUAACGUUUUACAUACUUGAGACGUCUUCUCUCACGUCGUCUUAAAUGAAGUAAGAGCAAAAGGCGCCGAUUUAAAGCGGCCUGUUUUUGCGAUGAGUGGAAAAGAGCCAUUACAAAAUCCCAUUCCAAGCUGCAAAUUUGCAGGCAGGGAUGGAUCAGUAAGAUGCAUGGGUGCUCAUCGACCCUUGAUCAUGGUUUGAGGUGCGAUGGUUGACUAAGUAAAUAAUCAUUUGGGGCCGGUUGUUCAAAGCACUGAUUAGCUGGUUUGAAAUUUAACCUGCUGUUUUAGUUUAUGUAUUUCGUUACGUCUGUCUAUUUCAAAACUUCAGAGAAGAAAACUGCUACUGGUUCAGACAAGAUCUCUAAAGAAAUAUUUCCAAAUUUAUAAAGAAGUUCUUGGAAAGUUUGCUUUGAAUUUGCUUUCAUAUAUUGCAUUUGAUAAUGAAAUUGCCCCCCCCCUGCUUGCCCCCUCUUCCUUGCCAAGACUAGGGGGGGGGGGGGUGCACCCCUGUAUCCCCAGUAGAUCCAUCCCUAAUUGCUGGUGCAUAUCCCAUUCCCAGUAAAUCUCAAAUUCAUUAAUAAUUCAGGAGUAAAUUAGCCAACCGUAUUGCCUUAUUUUGUUCACAUGAUAAUACUGGAUACCUGAUGAAGUACAGUAUAUUGAUCCUGUCCUAGGACUGGAUCCAAAUUAAUUCAGUCCUUGGACUGGAUCCAAAUUAAUUAAGUAGUGAUUUAUUCGUAUGGGAUGUCAUUUCAAAUCCUCCAAUUCGGACUGGACUAGAUUUGAAGUCCUCGCAUUUUCAUCCAGUCCUCGGCGUCGCUUCGGGCUUGAUCAAAUUCCGUGGACUUGAAAUCUAGUCCAGUCCUCAUAGUCGGAUUUGAAAUAUUACAUCAAAUCCCAUUUUCCCAGUGAAAAAAAUAGUCCAAGCUCCCUUUUUUUGCAAGGGCUCGUCCAUAGCGAACGUUUGUUCAAGCAAGAAGCUUAAUUAUAUCGCGUGUAUGAUUUAUACAUAUACUGUAGCAGUAAUAUAAUUAUUGUAUACUGAUGUUUAAAAUUUAGGAACCGGCUAGGCAUACAUGGCCAUGUAGUAUGUAGUUUUGAAUACAAAUGUAACUCAUUUUAAUAGUUUUCCAUGCAGCUCCGAAAAAGGGAAUAAGAUUAUUGAUAAUGAUAUUCUUGCAGUAAUAUAAUUAUUGUACACUGAUGUUUAAAAUUUAGUAACCGGCUAGGCAUAUAGUAUGUUGUUUUGAAUACAAAUGUAACUCAUUUUUAUAGUUUUCCACCCAGCUCCGGAAAAAGGAAUAAGAUUAUUGAUAAUGAUAUUCUUUUUUUGGCUGUUCAAACAUGUAAAGUACACAUUGUUCAAAGUUAUGUCAUUCAUUUUUCAUGAUUUGCUCAACGUAUGAAUAUUUUACAACUCGUGAGGACAUUUUUAAUUUGCAAACAUGUUUCGACUAAUAAUACACGGUUGCCAAUCAGGUUUGAAAUGAAAUACAAACAAAUCGAAGUGUGAAACAGUAUAAACGUGUAUUCAUAUCGCAAUUUUAAUAUAGGGUAAUGUCAGGCGCUGUGAAAGUAAAUAAUCGUCAGAAGGCUGAACUACAAUUAAAGUAAGUUGAAUUCAUUAUUUUUCUAACAGAUGCGCGGUGUU
rnacentral:lncRNA from 1 species